UACGAAGGUCCCGAGCGUUGUUCGGAAUCACUGGGCGUAAAGGGAGCGUAGGCGGUUUGGUAAGUCAGAUGUGAAAUCCCAGGGCUCAACCCUGGAACUGCAUCCGAUACUGCCAUAACUUGAGUAAUGGAGGGGUAGCUGGAAUUCUCGGUGUAGCAGUGAAAUGCGUGGAUAUCGAGAGGAACACUCGUGGCGAAGGCGAGCUACUGGACAUUUACUGACGCUGAGGCUCGAAGGCCAGGGUGGCGAAAGGG
rnacentral:rRNA from 1 species